rnacentral:lncRNA from 1 species
GUGUAUUUUUCGUCUAUUAAUAUCCAGUUCAGCCCCAGUCUACACAGCAACGCCGCCUCUGUCGCUGCCGCCUCAGACAAGCUUGUAAUUAACUCAAAUGCUUAAAAAAAAUAUGUGGCCACCAGAUGGCCCGUCCGUCUAAUACAUUCAGGAAACGCGAGGAAUAAUUCCAUCUUCAUUUCUUUUCCUUUUUUUAAAAUUCUGGGAGAAGAUGCGUGCGCUGUGCUACUUCUCGUGCGGUUUAGUUUACAUCAGUCACCUGCAAGAGAACGACACGCUUAAAUUAACUUCAUUUUCCCAGCUAGACAAUAAGACCUAACGACGUAAGCUUUACAAUAUACUUGUACAUGUAUGUGGUGCUUGUAGGCAAUACCUCCCUGCUCAACUAAAACAUAAAACACCGCUGCUUUUGCUAUGACUAGCAAAACCAACGGCCAUUAGAAACAUGUAACUGCCAGCUGGUCAUGCGCCUUCACCAAACGUCUAUACCUAUAUAGACCUUUGCCUCACCCCACCUAACCCUCGCCGUAUUAUAUCACUUCAGGCUACUUAAAUCAGACAAGAAGUCCCAUCACAAUCAAUACACUCAUUGAAGAAGUGCACCUUCCCAUCUACCUCUAUCAACACCUGGUCGAGGACUGACAGACCGAAACAGAUUGGGCACGACCGGACUUCGCGCCGCCAGACAUCAAAGGGGGUUCCGUCGCUAUUGAAAGCCCGCCCCACCUUCAUCCACUUCCUCCUCCUUAGCUUCUUGAGAUUGGCUUAAUUCUAUUUCAAGGAUACUACUGAAAAUCACUUUUGUAAUAUCAUGUAGCUGCGACAAUGCAAUUACCUUAAAUCCAAUGAACCCUAAUCUUUCAAACUAUACAAGACAAUUAUAUGAUUGGAGUUAUUCCGUCAAUCAAAGAAAUAAAACAAACUAAGAGGUGAGCCGUUAGUCCUUACUGAUAGCUGUCAUAUCAUGCCUCACGACAACCGGAUUUAGGAAAUCGCCUGUUGUCAAGUUUUAUCUUAACGCCUGAUAACGACAAUACAAAGAAAGCCCCAACCCUUAUUAUGGUCUUAUCGAGUAUCUGUAUCAUACACGCCGCCGCCAUGAGGAGUAAAAGCCAUCAUCACUGAUAACGCCGCCGGGAGUUACAAUGCCAUCGAGACGGAGAGAUGGAUUCCUCGAAAAAUAUCACUAGACAACCCAGACGCGUGUAAAUAAACCUAUCGCAUCCUUUUACAUGCAAUAGAAGCUAAAUCAUAAAUCGCACUGCAUGACAAUCACGACUCAACAGCCCCUCAACAAGUGGCAAGUGGCAGAGGCGACACCGCCCCCUACCCCCUUGGCAACCGGGGGGUAACGAGGGAGGGGGAUGGUGAGGGAGUGAGAGGGAGGGUGAGGAAAACUCCCUCGAGAUUAGAUCCCGUUCACCGGAUACACCGAAACCCGAUUUCACUCGCCAACAAGGGCGGCCGAGAUAAGACGACCGCGCCGUUAUCUGCCGACAAACACAGGCACUUGAUCCUUAACAAGCCCGGGCUCGACUCCUUGACACGUCACUCACUUGGCUGAUGUUCCCAGAUUUUGACAGCCAGUGACUAUAGGACUACAAAAGACCUUCGAUGAAAUGAAAGCAACGUAUGGAGGAUGCCCCAUCACGUGACAUUGUUAAACAUUGGCAACGGGGAAAUGUGGAAACGGCUCCUAUCCCAGGGCGACCCCAGUGUGCCAUUGAUGACGACACCAUCUAUCACGUGGAGACUGCCAUUUUAGAAGAUCGCCGUCUUACUGUUCGUCAGCUUGCCCACGAUUUCAAGAUUAGUAUUUGGUCUAUGGACAAAAUCAUUCAUGACCAUCUGCAUAUACAAAAGUUGUCUUCUCGAUGGAUUUUCAAGCUACUCGCACCUUUCCAGAAGCAGGAACGAGUCCAUUGUUCCAAGGCUCUUAAGCCAAGUGCCAAGGAAGCCAAGAAGACUUUUUUGACUUAUUACACAGGAGGAAACUUGGAUCCAUCACUAUGAUCCAGAA